rnacentral:rRNA from 1 species
GAUGAACGCUGGCGGCGUGCUUAACACAUGCAAGUCGAACGAAGCAUUUAGGACAGAUUACUUCGGUUUGAAGUUCUUUAUGACUGAGUGGCGGACGGGUGAGUAACGCGUGGGUAACCUGCCUUGUACUGGGGGAUAGCAGCUGGAAACGGCUGGUAAUACCGCAUAAGCGCACAAUGUUGCAUGACAUGGUGUGAAAAACUCCGGUGGUAUAAGAUGGACCCGCGUCUGAUUAGCUGGUUGGUGAGAUAACAGCCUACCAAGGCGACGAUCAGUAGCCGACCUGAGAGGGUGCCCGGCCACAUUGGGACUGAGACACGGCCCAGACUCCUACGGGAGUCAGCAGUGGGGAAUAUUGCACAAUGGAGGAAACUCUGAUGCAGCGACGCCGCGUGAGUGAAGAAGUAAUUCGUUAUGUAAAGCUCUAUCAGCAGGGAAGAUAGUGACGGUACCUGACUAAGAAGCUCCGGCUAACUACGUG